rnacentral:lncRNA from 1 species
CAAAGAACCAAAUGAAUCUCUAAUGGAGGCAGUGAAAGGGAAAAAACUUCUACUUGUUCUAGAUGACGCGUGGAACAUCGAGUACAAUGAAUGGGAUAAAUUACUGCUACCUUUGCGGUAUGUGGAGCACGGAAGUAAGAUUGUCGUGACAACACGGGAAGAAGAUGUAGCAAAAGUCACGCAGACUGUCAUCCCCUCUCACCGCUUGAAUGUAAUAAGCGAUGAAGAUUGCUGGAAGUUGUUUGCAAGGGAUGCAUUUAGUGGUGUAAAUUCUGGAGCAGUCUCACACUUGGAAGAAUUUGGCAGAGUAAUAGUGAGAAAGUGCAAAGGUUUACCGCUGGCAGCGAAAACUCUUGGGGGUCUUUUGCACUCCGUAGGAGAUGUCAAGCAAUGGGAGAAGAUAUCCAAUAGCAGUAUGUGGGGUUCGUCGAAUGAAAACAUCCCUCCAGCUCUAACAUUGAGCUAUUAUUAUCUCCCUUCACACCUGAAACGUUGUUUUGCUUAUUGUGCAAUAUUUCCCAAGGAUUAUGUAUUCAAGAAGGAUAGAUUAAUCACUGAAUGGAUGGCACAUGGUUUUCUAGUCCAGCCCAGAGGCGUUGAGGAGAUGGAAGAUAUAGGUGAAAAAUACUUUAAUGAUCUUGUCUCCAGGUCACUUUUCCAGCAAUCCACUGGUGAUUCUUUUUUCAGCAUGCAUGACCUCAUAAGUGAUUUAGCUGAAUACGUGUCAGGAGAAUUUUGCUUCAAGCUUGGUAUUAAUGAAUCGGGCUCUGGGUUGGAGAGUGAACAUUCAUGCUCGCUUCCAGAAAGGACUCGUUAUUUAUCAAUCACUUCAGCGGCAGCAUAUGGCGGAGGACUUCGGAUUUUUCGUAGCAUUCAUGGAGUCCAACAUUUGCGCGCCUUGUUUCCACUGAAGUUUUUUGUGGAAGUUGAUAUUGAGGCACUGAAUGACAUUUUGCCAAAUCUUAAGCGCUUGCGAAUGCUAUCUUUAUGUCAUCCAAAAGAUAUUUCUUCUCAGUUGCUCAAUUCCAUUGGCAACUUAAAACAUUUGCGGCACUUGGACCUUUCUCAGACAGUAUUUAAACGGUUGCCCGAAAGUGUGUGCACCUUGUACUAUUUGCAAAGCUUAUUGUUAAAGGAGUGCCGACUUCUCAUGGAGUUGCCAUCCAACCUUUCCAACUUGGUCGACUUACAACAUCUUGAUAUUGAAGGGACAAAUUUGAAAGAGAUGCCACCAAAAAUGGGGAAACUCACGAAGCUUCGAAUUUUGGAAUCUUACAUCGUGGGAAAAGAUAGCGGGUCUAGCAUGAAAGAGUUGGGGAAGCUCUCACACAUAAGGAAAAAACUUUCUAUUCGGAAUCUCAGAGAUGUUGCAAAUGCUCAAGAUGCUUUGGAUGCCAAUUUGAAGGGUAAGAAGAAGAUUGAGGAGUUGGGGUUGACGUGGGAUGGCAGUACGGAUGACACACCACACGAGAGAGAUGUACUUGAGAAAUUGGAGCCUUCUGAAGAUGUGAAAGAGCUUGCCAUUAUUGGUUACGGGGGUACAACGUUUCCAGGCUGGCUUGGAAACUCUUCUUUCUCAAAUAUGGUAACGUUGCUUCUUUCUGGAUGUACGAACUGCAUCCUCUUACCACCAUUGGGGCAGCUGCCAUCUCUAGAAGAGCUCGAAAUUGAAGGAUUUGAUGAAGUCGUGGCAGUUGGUUCUGAGUUCUAUGGAAGUGACCCUCCAAUGGAGAAGCCAUUUAAAUCCCUCAUAACAUUAAAGUUUGAGGGGAUGAAGAAAUGGCAGGAAUGGAAUACAGAUGUAGCUGGUGCUUUCCCUCAUCUUGAAAAUCUCUUGAUAGCAGGUUGUCCAGAGUUAACAAAUGGCUUGCCUAAUCACCUUCCUUCUUUAUUGAUACUUGAGAUUCGAGCGUGUCCGCAGCUUGUGGUUUCAAUUCCAGAGGCUCCCCUGCUCAGAGAAAUCAAUGUAUCUGAGGGAGAUGAAAGUCGUAUAACUGGUCGUACGUCGUCCUAUUAUUGCUACUACUUACCAGAUCAACCACCCAAGUGCCUUCAUUUUAGACGAGAUCCCCAGCUAACGGGAAUGGAGCAAAUGAGUCAUUUGGAUCCCCGUCUUUUCACUGAUAUCAAAAUCGAGGAAUGUAGUUCAUUUAAGUGCUGCCAGCUAGACCUUUUACCCCAGGUCACCACACUUACCAUUGAACAUUGUCUCAAUCUGGAAUCCCUAUGUAUAGGCGAGAGACCUGUCCCUGCUCUCUGUCGUCUGACAAUCAGUCACUGUCCUAAUUUGGUGUCUUUCCCCAAAGGAGGACUAGCUGCCCCGGAUUUGACAAGCCUUGUGUUAGAGGGUUGCUUAUAUUUGAAGUCGUUGCCGGAAAACAUGCGUUCCCUCCUACCUUCCCUACAGGAUUUGCAAUUGAUCUCACUUCCAGAAGUUGAUUCGUUUCCUGAAGGAGGUUUACCCUCCAAUUUAAACACACUUUGCAUUGAAGAUUGUAUCAAACUCAAGGUAUGUGGUUUGCAAGCACUCUCUUCUCUUUCAUACUUCGAAUUUAGUGGGAACGAUGUGGAGUCUUUUGACGAGGAGACGUUGCCCUCUACUCUCACAACCCUUAAAAUCAAACGUCUGGGAAACCUGAAGUCUCUGGACUAUAAGGGGCUUCAUCACCUCACCUCUCUUCAGGGAUUGGGUAUCGAGGGUUGCCCUAAGCUUGAGUCCAUAUCAGAGCAGGCGCUUCCCUCCUCCCUUGAAUACCUUUAUCUCAGAAAUCUAGAAUCUCUGGACUACGUGGGGCUUCAUCACCUCACCUCUCUUGACACAUUGAAGAUCAAGAGUUGCCCUAAACUUGAGUUCGUAUCAGAACAGGUGCUGCCCUCCUCCCUUGAAUACCAGGGGCUUCAUCACCUCACCUCUCUUAGAAAUUUGAGUAUCGAGAGUUACCCUAAACUUGAGCACAUAUCAGAACAGGGGCUGCCCUCCUCCCUUGAAUGCCUUCAUCUCUGUAAACUGGAAUCUUUGGACUACAUUGGGCUUCAGCACCUCACCUCUCUUCACAAAAUGAAGAUCGGGAGUUGUCCUAAACUUGAAUCGUUGCAGGGGCUGCCUUCCUCCCUUGAAUUCCUUCAGUUAUGGGAUCAGCAAGACCGGGACUAUAAGGAACUUCGGCACCUCACCUCUCUUCGCAAAAUGAAUAUAAGAAGGAGCCUUAAGCUUGAGUACCUUCAAGAAGGCACACUUCCCUCCUCCCUUAAAGACCUUGAAAUCCAGGAUUUGGAAGAUCUGGAUUAUAAGGGGUUUCGGCACCUCAGCUCUCUUCGUAAAUUACAUAUCUGUAAUUCUCCUAAGCUCGAGUUCGUGCCAGGAGAGGAGCUGCCCUCCUCCCUUGUAUCUCUUAAAAUAUCAGGUCUGAUAAAUCUGAAAUCUGUAAUGAGGCUUCAGCACCUCACCUCUCUUCGCAAAUUGAUUAUCCGGGAUUGUCCUAAGCUUGAGUACUUGCCAACAGAAGAGCUGUCCUUACCCCUAGUUCCUGAUAUUAGUGGUUGUCCUUUUGUAGAACCGAGUUGUUGCAUUAGUUAGACCAUGUAUCUUACCCGCGCUCCGCGGCCGAGCGAUUAGUUAUAUAAUUAAAUUUAAUAAAUAGGUUUUACAAUACAUUUUUAAUAUAAAAUAUUUUUCAAUAAUAAAUAGAAAUAUCUUUACAUACAUUAGUAAUUAGAUCAAUAUUUCAUAAAAAAAUAAUUAAAAUUGAGAUAUUUAAUCUUAUAAUAUGAAUCAUGCAUUUAGUUGUGUUUAACAAUUAUAUUUCCUAGAUUUUUUUUUUUAAAAAAUACAUGGGUCAAACUAUAUAAAUAUAAUAACCUUGUGACAUGAUUGAGAUAAUUUUAUAGAAAAAAAAGUAAAAAAAAAAGAAGCACAAAUACCAAUUCCAAAAAAAAUUACAUGUUGAAGGAUGAAAUUAAAAUAACACAAGAAUACUUGAUUUCACAUCAGGUUCAUGCAUUCAGCUAUGUUUAAUAACUUUGUUUUUUAGAAUAUUUUUUUAUUUAAUCAAACAAUUAUCUAUGCAAAUAAAAGGUAAAAAAAAUCACAAAUGAAAGCAAAUAAAAUCAAAUCAUGAAGCUUAAUUAUAAAACAACUCAAUGUUGAAUGAUGAAUUUUUUAAAAAAAUAAUUAAGAAAAACAAAAAAAAUAUGAGUCAACCCUCGUUAAUCCGCUAACAUUGCGACCAUUGGCAUAUGAUUGGAAUAAACCCAUAGAGAUGAAAGUGAAAGAAAAUAAAUACAAAGACCAACUCUCAGAAAAAUUAAAUGUUGAAGGAUGAAAUUAAAAAAAAAAUACUAGAGUCAAAUCAUGUUAAUAUUUGAAACUUGUAAUUGUGAUCAUGAGACCAAGACUACUCAUGUAUGAGUCAAACCCAAAAAAACAACAAAACAAAUUUCUCAAUAAAAAAAUAUCGAGGCAUGAAACUUUCAAUAAAAAAAAAACAUGAAAACAAUAUGAAUCAACCAGGGUUAACUCGCUAACCCCGUGACCAUGGAAACAGAUCGGGAUAACCUUAUUGAAAGUAAAGUGACAGAGAAAAGCACAAAGAACAACUAUAUAAAAAAUAAACGUUGAAGGGUGAAAUUAAAAAAAAAAGAUCAUUAACCUUUAAAACUCAUGAUCAUGAUGUUGGGACUAACCAUAUAAAAAACAACAUAACAAAAUUCUCUGUAUAAAAAAGUUGAGGCAAGAAACUUAGUAAAAAAAGCAACAUAAAAUAUCUGAGUCAACUAUGUAACCACGAGUAUAUAAUUUAAAUAAUCUUAUAGAAAGGAAAGAAAAAACAAAACAUGAAAACCAAUUUCAUAAAAAUUAAAUAUUGAAGAAUAAAAUUGAAAAAAAUAAAUUUCUAUCAUUAAGAAACCAAAAUCAACCCGUGCAAACCUUUAAAAGCCAUGUCAAAAAAAAAAGCUAAGUGAUGAAAUCUUUAAAAAAAACCAAUAAAAAAAAUUCAAAACAUAAUAAAUAUAAGUAAAAAAAAAUAGAGAUCAAAUUCGAUACUAAAAAUUAAAAAUCAAAUAAAGAGGAAUAAAAUCGAAACAAUAUCUAAUUAGUUGAAGGAUUUAAAAAUAUCAAAAGAAAUAGUGCUAAGUUUUAUAUAAAAAUAAAAUAAAAUAAAAUGAUUAGAGAUAAAUAGCAAUGAAUACUAUUUUUAUAAAAUAAAAAUUAAAAAAACUGUAGAAAAACACAAUAAAAAUAUAAAAACUAUAUGUAAUAUAAGUGUUAACCGCACGUAUCAAACAUUGGUUCCAAACAAAACUAGAAAAUAAAAAAACUAGACACCUGCAUCAUCACGUCCAAACCUGCCUAAAAGGCAGAAAAAACUGCACAUGCAUUUGCAAUACCAUGCCACAACCAAAUCAAUCUUACCAAAAACAUCCUUUAUUCAUCAUUAAAGGUCCUCUUGUGAACAAAACAUAAAAACAUAGUGAAAACAAAAAGAUUGGUUUCAAUGGCAAAUGCAUAAGCAAAAAAUAUUCAAAUCAAUGUAGAAAUCAUAAAGAGAGCAACGGAAGGACAAAAAUCGAUCAAAAAACCCUCACUGACAGAAGAAACAACACACUUUCACCUCAUGUGUUCUCCAUCGGUUUGUUUAAGAAAAAAAAGACGAGCUGCAGCAUCACCACCUCCAUCCUCUCUCAUAAGCUUCUUCUUCUCCAAUGUGCAUACCUUUUUGGUUCACACAUGUUCUAUGCCUCCUCUCCCUCUUCUAAAUCAUGACUACAAGUGAAGAAAACAACUCUAAUCCCACCCAAAAACAAUGUUCUAAUACCAAAUUUGAUAUGAGACAAAAGAGAUUUAAAGUUAAAGAAGAGAAAAAAAAAGUCAAAGAAAGAGAAAAAAAACUGAUAAAGACUAAAACCCUGAUUAUAACAUAUAAUUAAACUUAUAGCCCACUAAAUAAAAUAGUAAAAACAAUAAUUAAAUCAAAUCCAAAAAAUAAUGUAUGAUUAAUAAAUUUCAACUAAAAAAUUAAAUAAAUUAAACUAAAAUAUAAGUUGAAGCUCCAUCUCUUAAUGAUUUGAGCUACCCUCCAUCAUUUAUAAUCAUACAAAUACGUAAAUAGUGUUCUUUCGAGUCCGUCCCUACCACUUAUAUAUAUAUAUAUAUACAGAGAAUUUAAGUCUAGUAUUUGAACGGUUCAUAAACCUCGAUCCAUCAUGCGAUUUCUCAAGAUGACGUUGUUAUAAUUUCAAAAAACUAUUUACAGAAGAUUUAUCUUCAAGGACAAGAGUUGAAUCCUUAAUAUUUUACUUGUCAUAACUUAAUUUUGGCCCUUUGGUUUUUAAUUUAAUUUUUACAGGGUUUAAAAUGAAAAUUUAAAAGAUCAGAGAUUUAUUUCGAUGAAAAGUGUGAUUUGUCAAACUUCCGUGAAAAUUAAGGAUUACAAUGUGUUUUUGUCAUUCUAUCUUUAUCUUCAAGAUAAUCCCUAUCUUCAAGAUAAUCUUUAUCUUCGAGAUAAUCCUUGUUUUUAAGAUAAUGAUAGUUAUCCGAUUUCAAAUUUGAUUCUUAAUCAAAUUCAAACUUCAAAGAAGAGAAUGAGUUUGAUUGAAACUUGGUUUCUCACACGCGAAAGGACUCUGACACUAUAAAUACAGAUUUCAGGGUAUGAAAAAAAGAAGAGAGGAUGAUUAGGGAGAGACCCUAAAGAAACAGGGAAAAAACCCAGGAAAAGGCCAUUGUAAAAGAGAUUUAAAGUUAAAGAAGAGAAAAAAAAAUCAAAGAAAGAGAAAAAAAACUGAUAAAGACUAAAACCCUGAUUAUAACAUAUAAUUAAACUUAUAGCCCACUAAAUAAAAUAGUAAAAACAAUAAUUAAAUCAAAUCCAAAAAAUAAUGUAUGAUUAAUAAAUUUCAACUAAAAAAUUAAAUAAAUUAAACUAAAAUAUAAGUUGAAGCUCAAUCUCUUAAUGAUUUGAGUUACCCUCUAUCAUUUAUAAUCAUACAAAUACGUAAAUAGUGUUCUUUCGAGUCCAUCCCUACCACUUAUAUAUAUAUAUAUACAGAGAAUUUAAGUCUAGUAUUUGAACGGUUCAUAAACCUCGAUCCAUCAUGCGAUUUCUCAAGAUGACGUUGUUAUAAUUUCAAAAAACUAUUUACAGAAGAUUUAUCUUCAAGGACAAGAGUUGAAUCCUUAAUAUUUUAAUUUUCAUAACUCAAUUUUGGCCCUUUGGUUUUUAAUUUAAUUUUUACAGGGUUUAAAAUGAAAAUUUAAAAGAUCAGAGAUUUAUUUCGAUGAAAAGUGUGAUUUGUCAAACUUCCGUGAAAAUUAAGGAUUACAAUGUGUUUUUGUCAUUCUAUCUUUAUCUUCAAGAUAAUCCCUAUCUUCAAGAUAAUCUUUAUCUUCGAGAUAAUCCUUGUUUUUAAGAUAAUGAUCGUUAUCCGAUUUCAAAUUUGAUUCUUAAUCAAAUUCAAACUUCAAAGAAGAGAAUGAGUUUGAUUGAAACUUGAUUUCUCACACGCGAAAGGACUCUGACACUAUAAAUACAGAUUUCAGGGUAUGAAAAAAAGAAGAGAGGAUGAUUAGGGAGAGACCCUAAAGAAACAGGGAAAAAACCCAGGAAAAGGCCAUUGUAGAAACCCUAUAAAAAAAAAUAAAAAAAACAUUUAUAAAAAAAAAAAGAGCGCGGCCGAAUCCUUAACUAGCCGCCGCACCCUCCCCCCAGCUUUUUCCUCUCUUCUUCCCUGGUCCCAAACCAGCUAUUAAACGCUCCUAUUCAUUGAUUUUCUUUCCGCCAAUCUCAACGCCAAGGAGCUGCAACUCCUCAUAAAAAUAAAAAUAAAAAGUCUUUCUCCCUCCCAGUCACCGACCUUCAGCCUCUCUUCCCCGCUCUCACUCUCCCCGUUAACCACCAUCCUUCAUCUCAGCCUCCUCACCGAGAACACAAGCCUCCACCCAUCAAUCCUCAGCCACAGGGAAACCGAAGGAAACCAUACACAGACAGCCCUUUCACUUCCUUUUUCUGCGACCGAUCGAUCCCUCAAACUGACCACACACGGUCUUCUUCCCCCAUCCGCAAUAUUUCUCUUUCUUCCCUAGCCGACUACCAUGAGCAACGGAGAAGCAGCACCCGAAGACCCAAUGGUUCCAGCCACAGGCAGCUGCAAAAACAGAGAAGAGUUUUCCUCAGAACUCAGCUGCAGCAGCAAAAGUCGUGUGGUGUAGUUUUUUUUCCUUCCUCCAGCGGUGCAGUUUCUUCAUGCACAAGAACCGUGAGGCUCCAGCAUGGCAGCCAUGGACUGUCUAGCCUCCAUUGAAGUAACGCUUAGAAGCACUCUUCUCGCCAGCCUUUGCACCAGCAGUGAACAUCAGCAGUUUUUUAGCUCCAACAGCCACUCCUCUCUCCCCACCGUGCUCUUCCUGCCAGCGUCCACUAGUUCCUCGAUCGGGAGAAGAUCCUGCUCCACCGGGGUCAGCUUCCUCUUUUCUCUUCCGGCCGUGGCUCUAGCCAUCGCUAGUGUCAGUGAGUCGCUUCCCCUCCUGUAUUACAAUUCACGUUAGUAGCUGUGAAUUAUAGUUCACUUGCUACUGUAGCAACUGAACUAUAAUUCACUUGCCUCAACCGGGUCACUGGCUUAGGCCAGUGACCAGACCGGGGAGGUUGGGUCUACACAGCCAUGCAGGCUGGGUCAGACCCACCCAAAAUAAAUAAAUAAAAAAACAUAAUAAAAAAAUAGUUUUUUUUAUUCAGAUUUUUGUGGGUUUAUUCACUGGCGUCAGAGUCAGGAAUUAUACCGUAUUUUGUGGAUUGCACAAUAUUUAUCAACGCCAGAGUUGGAAAUAUUCAUAGUUCACUGGCGCCAGAGUCAGGGAUUAUACCGUAUUUUGUGGAUUGCACAAUAUUUACCAACUCCAGAGUUGGAAAUAUUCAUAGUUCACUGGCGUCAGAGUCAGAAAUUAUACCGUAUUUUGUGGAUUGCACAAUAUUUACCAACGCCAGAGUUGGAAAUAUUCAUAGGUAAAUAUUCAAUGAUGUCAGAGUUGGGGAUAUUAUAGGAUGACCAUAAGAACAGAACACAAACAAACCUUUAGCAAUUUUAGACAAAAUCAGCAAUGCAGCCUGCCUCAGGCAGGACGCUUAAGGGGUGAUAGCAUCUUCCCUUUCGCGUAACCAAUCCCGGAUCAUAAAAUCUCUAUUGACCAGUUAGGGUUCCUAGUGACCAUAAUACUAGGUGGUGACUCCUUAAACAAGACCUUUCCCCCUAAAAGAACAAGAUGUCAGAUAUCUGUUCUUAUUCCAUUUGUGAUUAAUUUUUAAUCAGUCGUCGCGAUGUCCGGGUGUGACAUUACUGUCAGUUCUAUUUAUGUGCUUGAUAAAGUUAAUUAAUUUAGUUAUAUAAUUAUCUUUAUCCUAUAUAUUUAUUAGUUUGUAUACAUGAAGUAUAUCUUAAUCACGUCACAUUAAAUCAAACGUUAGCAUUUAUAUGCCAACAUUAAUAGUGAUAAAGUUAAUUAAUUCGAAGCUUUUACAUACAAAAUAUACUUUGAAAAUCACUUUAUAAAUCUCAUAAUGGUAAUAUCACAUUAAUAGUGAAAGAUCUACGUACUCAACCAUGCAUGAUGUCAAAAGUUUUCCUUGACGAACAUGCCACGUCACUUUUUCAUUUACUUAGCUAAUCUAUUUCCAUAAGAAGCAAAAGAUUCUGUAUAAAAUUUUUCUAUAAAUACAUUUUGUAUUUUAAUUUUUUGUUUUAAAAGUGUUUUUAAAAGAAAUUAAAAUUUUUUAAUUUUUUUAAAAGAACUUUUUAUAUUUUUAUAUUGUUGAAUAUGCUGAUUUUAAAAAUAAAUUCUAAAAAUUAAAAAAUAUAUUAUUUAAAUAUAUUUUGAAAAAACAACUGUAUUUUUGCAGGAAAAACACCUAUAAAUUAACAUUUUUAGCCCGUGACGGUGACAUGCAGUUCUACCCAUGACGGUGGCGGGGAGUCCUGCCAAUUGUACAUGUCGGAUCCUUCUUGCCCGUGACGGUGACGGGCAAUCUCGCCGGUCAUUUCAGUAUGGCCCCAGGUGAAAACAUUUGGCUUUUUUUAAUUACAGAAAAUUUAACCAUGUAUAUAUUUAUUUAUAUUUGCGUUCAUGUGCUAAAUUCUUGAAGAACUCAAUGGAUGCUGAAAUUAAAGAUUCUUGGCGUUACAAAUUUUCACUUGAAAGUGCAAAACUAUAAAAUCCUCCAUUGCUUUUGAAUUACAAAUCGUAACCAAUAUUUUCCAAAACCAAACCUCAAUUAAAAAAUUAAAAUGAAAUGAGUUUAUUUUUUUAAAAAAGUAUUUUUUAUUUAAAAAUAUAUCAAAAUUUAUUUUUAAAAUUUUUAUUUUAUUUUUAAUAUCAACACAUUAAAACAAUAAAAAAAUACUAAAAAAAAAUAUUAAUUUAAUACUUUUCAAGUUAAAUAUAAUUUUAAAAUAUACCCAAAUACAAUUUCAACCACAAUAUCCAACCGUCACAAACCCCUUAACUUAACCUAGAAAUUUUUUAGCAGUUAAUUAUUCUAAAAUAAUAUAUAUUAACUGAUUGAUCCUCACACUAAUAUGAAAUAUGAAUAUCUAUUGCUUUGGGCCACUCAUUUUAAAAAACAAAUAGCAAGCAGGGGUAGCAGUUUGAGAAUAGUAGGGAAGGAGGUUCUCUUUUGUAUCGGUUGAAAGUAGUGUAUAAUGAUUAUUUUUUAAUUUUUUUUUUUAAAAUAUUUUAAAAUAAUAUUUUUUUAUUUUUUAAAAUUUAUUUUUAAUAUUAAUAUUUCAAAAAAAACUGAAAACAUAAAAAAAUUAGUUUAAAGUAAAAAAAUAAAAAAAUAAUUUAUUUUAAAAAUAUAAAAAACUAGCUUUUAAUAAUUAAAAUUAGUGUUGUGCCCGCGUGAUAUGCUGCGGGAUGAAUUAAAAUGUUAUUUUCAAUGCUAAAAGGGAUGUAGUCGUCAAUAACAUAUUUUCACCCAUUUAUCAUUUGACAUGUAUUCUUAGGUAGCAUAGAUUUAAAAUUAAAUAUUUUUAAUUGAAGGAAAGUUUUUUCAUUAAAGAUUCUGAUAAGCUGAUGUACAAGAAAUAAAUAUUUCAGAGAAGAAAAAUGUCAAAAUAUUAUGAUUUAUUAUUUAUUUAAUUAUAUAAUAAAAAAAAUAAACAUGUGCAUGAGAGAUAAAUAAUAAAAUAAGAAAAACAUGAAGAACUACAUAAAAGAAGAGCUUGUUUAUGUUAUAAAUAAAUGCCACAAUCUUAAUAAAAAUAGAGUAAAAACCAAACAUUAUAUGAAAAAAUAAUAUCCUGAAUAUGUUUUUAGUAGUUUAAUUCUAAGGAAUUUAAAUUUAAAUUGAGGGAAAAAAAACUUCUUAACAAAAUAAAACUUAUGAUGUUAGUUGUUACACCAACAUUAAACAUGCUCGAAAACAACUUCUUUUUCAAAGCAUGCAAUUAUAUGGAACCAAAUUAAUUUAUAAUUUUUUUAUUUAAAAAAAAUAAUUAAAAAUUUGUAUUAAUAUACUGAUAUCAAAAAUAAUUUUUUUUUUAAAAAAAAUAUUUUAAUAUAUUUCUUACUAAAAAAUACUUUAAACUAUUAUCGCUAUUAUAAUUCCAAACAGUUAAUCAAGCUGAUUGUUAUAUUACUCCUCAUGGAACCAAAUCAAUCCAUAACUUACGAGAUUUAUUGCAACUCUUGCUUACUUUUGUAUUCCAUAACCUAUGCUUGCUUUCAAAUGUGUGUGUGUGUGUGUGUGUGUGUGUCAAAGGCUCUCCCUGUGAUUUUCAACUUUCCUUUCACUCUUAAUUUACAAACAUGUUUGUCGUUCAGAGUAAGUAUCUCAGCUCACUAUUUUCGAGUUCUGGUUCUGCAUAACAGAGGAGCAUGAGAUUCUUAACGCCAGCGUCCAACGUUAACCGAGCAUAGAUAAUUGGGUUUCCGGGACAAAUGAAACGACAAGUCGACGUCAAAAAAUUGUGCUAAUAAAUUUUGCUCUUCUUUUUUAAAUCCUUUUCCUUCAGAAGAUUUGAGGAACGACUUGGUAGAGUGAUGCUUGGAGGAGCAAUAUAAUUCUUUUUUAAAUCCUUCUCCGUCAUAGAUCUAAGACAUGGAGAAAUUAAAAUUAAUACUUGAAUCCAAGGUUGUUAAAAAUGUUUUUUUAACACCAUACGAAAUAUAUAAUAUAAACUCGGAUGGUAAAAUUAUAAAUAAAAUAUUUUAACUAAUUAUAUAUUAACAAUUCCAAUCAAGUAGUAAAUAAUAAUAUAACACAAUUAAAAUAAAAGUGAAAUAAACAAUACAAAUAUUCAAACAUCUUAAAAUACAUGAUUCAAAUAAAAAUUCAUACAUGGUUUAAAUAACUUAACAAUACAAUAUAACACAAUUAUGUCCAUAGAAUUUCAUUAACAAACCUAAAACAAACAAUUUGUUGGUGUGUCUUGUAACUAAACACAACCUCAUUACCUUUAUUUUCCUCAUGAUUCCUAAAAUAUUCAUUAAAAUAAUUACUAUCUAAAAAAUUAUUAUUACUACUACUAAUAUCAGCAUCGAUAUUGUGAACAUUAAUGCUACUACUACUAAUAUAAAAAAUUGAUGAUGAUCUAUCUCUUCUUUUAUUUUCUAUAAAACACUUAUUUAUAUUUAAAUUCAACUUGAUUUUACCGGUCAAUCCAAUAACUUAUUUAUUCAUAUCAUAAUUUAUAUCAAGUCUUAUAUUAAAUUAGAUGAGAGUUAAUUAUAUAUUAGCCAAAAUAAAUAAAAAAUUUAGGAUACCGAAUGUUGAAAUGACAUUUAAAGAAUUAAAUUAAAUCAUCAUAAUUAAUAAUUAUUUUUUUAAAAUAAAACUAUAUAAAUUGAAGGCGAAGUGGCCUUGGUAUAAAAGGAAAGCAAAACAUAAGGCCUCACUGUUUUCAGCCUUUUUCUUACCAAAAUAUCCUCUUCUUCAUUUCCUUUCUCUAACCCCUCUCUCUCUCCCUCCCUCUCUCUCUCUCUCUCAUUUGGGAUCCAAAUAAUAAGAAUUGGCUCCUCCCAGAAGGCGAAUGGUACAACGGGAAAACCCUGCGUAGCAAAGCCAAGCUUGGAAAAACCACCUAAAGCUAAGACUGCUUUUUGGGUGUUGCUCUUGAGAGAGAGAUUAACAUAGUGUGGAAGACUGGAAGUUGUGGUGUUGCUACGGCAAAAGAGGAAGGGGAAAGGGGAGCAGGGACUCGGGAGGGACUCAAGGAGAAUACAGUACACUGUAUUUUGUAAAUUGUAACUUUUGUUAAACUCGUAAACUCGUUCUGAGUUGACCGAGUUAAUCGAGUUUAACCGAGUUUGACCGAGUUAGCUCAUUUUCAAGUUUUGAAUCCAAUUCUACAUGUUAUAUAUGAGUUGACUCGUAAAAUCAUACGAUUUUAUGAGUCAACUCGCGAGUUUAAUAACAUUGCAUGGGUCCUUGAGGUCAAGUUUCCCAGCUGUCUCCCUUGAUUGGUGUUGCAAGGGGCGGAGCUAGAAUUAUUUAUUAGAAGGGUUAAAAUUAAUAUAAUAAAAUAUAAUAUUUAUUUUAAUUUAUUGUACAUGAGUUGUAAAACAAAAUCUGUAUAAUUUAGUUUUAUUCAAAUAACUUACUACAAACAUAUAAUGACCUUAUUAUAAUGUAAAAGGUUUGGAGCAAUACCAAAUUGAGUCAAAGUAAUGAAGUUAAUUUCAUCUUCAAUAUAUCCAUCACUUUAAUGUUGUUAGUCUUUAUAUCUAUCAAAUAUAAACAUACAAAGUAUAUAAGAAACAUUAGCUAAAGCGAAGCAUUAUUUAUGUUUGAUAAACUUUGAAAUAAAAUAAAAAAUAAUAAAGAAUAAUUCUUAUAUAUUUAUUUUAAUUGUGCUUGUCGUUCUUUCAUAAAAUAGAAAUCAUCGAUUAUCAUAUCAAUUGUGAAUCUUUCAACAAUUGCUUUUUCUAUAUAGACAAUCAAAUAGUUUACAAGAAAAUCAUCCUCCAUCCGAUUGUGAAAUCUUGUUUUAACAAUCUUUAUCGCUGAAAAAGCUCAUUUAGUAGUUGUUGUCGAAACAUGAAGAGUCAAAAUAAGUCGAAUCAACCUGUCAACUAGCGGAUAAAUUGUUGAUUUUUCUGUUUCAACCAAUCUUCGACAUAAAUCAACAAUCAAUGACAUGUUCUUUAACUUUGGAUGAUUGGGUACAUGAUUGGAUGACAUGUUCUAAAAUCAAAACUUAUAUCAUGAGAAAAAAUUGAUAAUUUUGAUGGCUUUGCUUAAAACAAAACAUAAAAAAAAUCUAAGUAUAAUCAAAACAAAACAAUAAAAUAUAUCUAAUUAAUUAGAAAAAAAUCACCAUAACAAGAAUUCAAAAAACAAUUGGUAGAACUGGCAGAUUUGAGGAAAAAAAUUAGCAAAAAUGGUAGAAUUAUAUAAAAAAACCUCAUCAAAUUAUUAACAAACAUCUCAAAAUAAAACAAAAAUAGAUUUUAAAUUUAGGUUACCUUAUUUUAUUUGAUGAAAGAUAAAUUAAUUGGUAACUCUGCUUCAAUUUUUUUGUAGAAAAAUUUUACUCAUAAUUUGUGUUUUUAUCGGCUGCAAGAUUUAUAUUAGGGCUACACAAGAUAAUGACUUUAUAUUUUUUUUAAGAGUAAAUAAAAAAUCAAAAGUAAAGUUACAUUUAAUUACUGGUAAUAAGAACACCUGUUUAAAAUAAAAAAAUUCUAUUAAUUAAAUUUUGUAAAAAUAAAGUAAAAUUAUUAUAAAUAACUUGGAAAAUAAUUUAUGUGUGUAUCUUGUUCAAUGAAAGGAACCAUACAUGAAAUGCAACCACCUAGAAGACAGAACAAGCACAAAAAUAAAAUUUAAAAGGAAAACCUGUUUGGCAAGAUUACAAGCACGAUCUAUCUUGGGGGCCCCGGGCCCUGCUCCCCCCUGCCUGCACUGCUGCCUCUACAAAUUCCCGUGGGCUUCCUAUUAAUUAGAUCGAUCUAUUGAAGAACUCCACUCUCCUGUCAUUGCUCGUGACGUAGACCUCUGACGAAAGGUUGAAUGAAGACAAAAAAUGAGCUAGAAAUGCGUGGAAAGUUUAAAGUGUUUUGAUAUUAAAACUUACUAUUAAUAUUUUAUGGAUGUCCACUUGAAGAUAAUUAAUAUAGUCUUAAUUCUUCACUUGAUAAUAUCUUAAUCCUAUUAAUUAAAAUAAAGUCUUAACACCGACUGUAAAUAUAAUAAUAUAAUUAAUUUAAUAUUGCAAGGAGGAAGGCUUCCAUUAUUUUGCGUUUCUUUCUUUGUUUUUUCCUUUGAACCCUACGUGCUCUCUUAUUCUCUCCUUCACGCAAUUAAAAGGAAUUUUGACCAAAAAAAUAUAUAUAUUCCUCGUUACUUUGAAUGAUUAGAAUUCUUGAGAAUAUUGAUUUUAAUUAGUUUAAAAAAAAUAUGAGAUGAAGAUUUUGACAAAAAAAAUAUUUUUUUAAUAAAAUUUAAAUAAUUCAAACUCUUUUAAAUAUUUAUUUUAAAAAUUAAUUAUAAAAACGGUCGAGCUGCCUUUGUCUAUUUUCUCUAUUCUAAUAUUUAAUGCAUCCAUAUUAUCGUUAAUUUAAAUAACUCUUAAUUUUCAGUAUGCAUUUAACACAUUUCUGUAUGCAUUUAUCUUUUGUUUUUUUAUUAGAAAAACCAACUUUUUAAUUUUAACAUCCAUAAUAAUUUUAUCGGUUUAACUGUUUAUAUACUUUUAACUUUAUUGUAUUAAACACAAAAAUUAUCUUUUUAUUAAUGAUUAACAAAUUUAUUUAUACAUAUCGGUUCCUUAAUCGUGGAGCGCUGAUAAAAUAUAAUAUAAUUAAUAUAAUAUUGUUAUUAAUAUAAUAUAAUGAUUAACAUUUUGAAGUUUUUGGGAACGCGGUUUGCACCGCGUUCCCAAACGGUUUCUCCAGCUUCCACGAGUUAUCAUGCAAUUCAGUGGCUUAUUAGCAUUCUACUACCAUCAUUCUCUCUCACAGAAUCACCCUCACCCUCUCGCAAAAAUCCACCAAGGCUCCUGCUUUCCACUUCUCUUUUUCUCUCACGUAUUCCCACCCUCACCCUUUCUGCAAAAAUCCACCAUGGCUCUGGAGUUGAUCGGAGGAUCAUUUCUCUCUCCUGUCAUUCAGGUUUUGGUCGACAGGUUGGCCUCUCGUCAGGUUCUGGGCUUCUUCAAAAGCCAAAAACUCGACGAUGGUCUUCUGGAAAAGCUGAAUGAAACACUGAAUACUGUCAACGGACUACUCGACGAUGCGGAGGAGAAGCAGAUUACAAAUCGUGCUGUGAAGAACUGGCUUAAUGAUGUUAAACAUGCUGUCUAUGAAGCCGAGGACAUAUUGGAGGAGAUUGAUUAUGAAUAUCUACGAUCCAAGGACAUUGAUGCCCCUCGACCUGACAGCAAUUGGGUAAGCAUAGUUCUUGCACUUGUAGACCUUGCUUCCUCAUAAAAUGUCUGUAAAUGAGGAAAAGAUAAUUUUAGGCAUGACUGUUGUCUUUCUGUGAGUUUUAAUUAAAGAGUAUUCAUUGUAUAUUAUAUAUGCAACUAAUAUUAUUGGCUUUUCGUGUGUGUGCUGAAAUUACGCUUGCAAAUUCUCAUUUAUUAACUAGUUUUCUAAACAUUGGCUUUGGAUUUUUAAAAUCUGAAUUAUUUAUAUAAAUUUUGUCAAUUUUAAUUAAAUUAUAUUUUUAUUUGAGACAAAAAUUAAUUUCAUUAUAUUUAUAAAAAUAAUAUAAUAUGAUAUGAUAAGGGCUGUGAAAAUCACUAAUGACAUUUAAUCAAUAUCUUUUUAAAACUUGAAUUUUACAAUUGUAAAUUCUUGAAAAGAUCUGUAGAAAGAAAAUGUUUAUAUUAAGUUAGCAUCAACGAUUUAAUGGCGUUAACUUAUUGCAGGUAAGGAAUCUGGUUCCACUUCUAAAUCCAGCUAAUAGAAGGAUGAAAGGGAUGGAAGCAGAGUUACAAAGGAUCCUUGAGAAGCUUGAACGUUUACUUAAACGAAAAGGUGAUCUGCGCCACAUAGAAGGUACUGGUGGAUGGAGACCAUUGUCAGAGAAAACAACUCCACUGGUUAAUGAAUCUCAUGUAUAUGGAAGGGACGCUGAUAAGGAAGCCAUAAUGGAGUACUUGUUGACAAAAAACAAUAUAAAUGGCGCAAAUGUAGGUGUGAUUCCUAUUGUGGGCAUGGGAGGGGUUGGUAAAACCACUCUUGCUCAGCUUAUCUACAAAGACAGAAGGGUAGAGGAGUGCUUCGAGCUCAAAGCCUGGGUCUGGACUUCUCAACAAUUUGAUGUUGCCAGGAUUAUUAAGGAUAUUAUUAAGAAGAUCAAAGCAAGGACUUGCCCCACCAAAGAACCAGACGAAUCUCUAAUGGAGGCAGUGAAAGGGAAAAAACUUCUACUUGUUCUAGAUGACGCGUGGAACAUCGAGUACAAUGAAUGGGAUAAAUUACUGCUACCUUUGCGGUAUGUGGAGCACGGAAGUAAGAUUGUCGUGACGACACGGGAUGAAGAUGUAGCAAAAGUCACGCAAACUGUCAUCCCCUCUCACCGCUUGAAUGUAAUAAGCGAUGAAGAUUGCUGGAAGUUGUUUGCAAGGG